rnacentral:rRNA from 1 species
ACACGUAGGGGGCGAGCGUUGUUCGGAAUCAUUGGGCGUAAAGGGCGUGCAGGCGGUCCUGCAAGUCCGGCGUGAAAGACCCCGGCCCAACCGGGGGGACGCGCUGGAAACUGCGGGGCUUGAGUACAGGAGGGGGUGGCGGAAUUCCAGGGGUAGGGGGGAAAUCUGUAGAUAUCUGGAAGAACACCAAUGGCGAAGGCAGGCAUCUGGCCAUGUACUGACGCUGAGACGCGAAGGUGCGGGGAGCAAACAGGUUUAGAUACCCUGGUAGUCCGCACAGUAAACGAUGUGCACCAGGUGGCGGGGGGUCGACCCCCGGUACCGUAGCUAACGCAUUAAGUGCACCGCCUGGGGAGUAUGCUCGCAAGGGUGAAACUCAAAGGAAUUGACGGGG